CAAAACAUGUAGACAUAGGGAAUAUGUGUGAAGCUAAAUGCAUUGUGUUAGCAUUAGAAGAUGGUUCCCCAGUCAUGACUUCAUGGUAACCAGGAAUCAUAGGGACAGGUACCUAUGAAUGACCAGUAUUGGUAAGUGGCCAAAGCUAGUUUAUAUUAUAACUUCUGCUUACUAAAAUUAGAAGACAUAUUACUUUCUUUUUUUUAAAGAUUUAUUUAUUUAUUUGAAAGGCAGAGUUUCAGAGAGACAGAGGCAGAGAGAGAGAGAGAGAGAUAGACAGAGAGACAAGAGAGAAAGGUCUUCCAUCCACUGGUUCAUUCCCCCAGAUGGUUGCAAUAGCAGGAGCUGCACCAAUCUGAAGCCAGAAGCCAGGAGCUACUUCCGGGUCUCCCAAAUGAGUGUAGGGGCCCGAAGACUUGAGCCAUCUUUUAUUGUUUUCCCAGGCCAUAGCAGAGAGCUGGAUCAGAAGUGGAGGAGCCAGGACUGGAACCUGCGCCCAUAAGGGAUGCCGGCACUGCAGGUGACAGCUUUAUCCACUACACCACAGCUGCGGCCCCCGACUUUCUUUUUGAUGGAGGUUCAACUCCAGUGUUUUGUGAAUCCCCUUGAAGCUCUGGAAAACUCAAUAGAUACAGUCAUAAUUAAGGGUUAUCAAUUAUGGCUCAAGGUGAGAAACAAGAAUUCCAACUACAAGCAUGAAAAAGGAAAUGAUGCUGAAACAACCGGCCAAAUACAGAGCAGAGCCAGCUCUUCAUGCCGAGGGUUCUCAGAAGAGACAUAGGAAGGUAUUGAUCAUUCUCCUAAAGGCAAGCUGAGCAGAUUAGAUUGAUACAGACUCUGUUUCUUCCCCUAAGUUUGCUAGAGCAACGGGAGUGAAAUCAGUUUGGGAAGGAACGUAAUGGACAAUUUGUAAAGAUGUAAGAUAAGCUGGAUACUCAUUUUACUUUCGUGAAUUUCUUCUUGGUUGUAACUGAAAUUGAAGGUGACUGGGUGCUAGAGCUGCAAGGGGACUGAAUUUGUUAUUUCC
rnacentral:lncRNA from 1 species